rnacentral:tRNA from 1 species
UUGGGAUAGCUCAGUUGGCAGAGCAGAGGAC